rnacentral:rRNA from 1 species
CCUACGGGAGGCUGCAGUGAGGAAUAUUGGUCAAUGGACGAGAGUCUGAACCAGCCAAGUAGCGUGAAGGAUGACUGCCCUAUGGGUUGUAAACUUCUUUUAUAUGGGAAUAAAACGUUCCACGUGUGGGAUUUUGUAUGUACCAUAUGAAUAAGGAUCGGCUAACUCCGUGCCAGCAGCCGCGGUAAUUCGGAGGAUCCGAGCGUUAUCCGGAUUUAUUGGGUUUAAAGGGAGCGUAGGUGGAUUGUUAAGUCAGUUGUGAAAGUUUGCGGCUCAACCGUAAAAUUGCAGUUGAAACUGGCAGUCUUGAGUACAGUAGAGGUGGGCGGAAUUCAUGGUGUAGCGGUGAAAUGCUUAGAUAUCACGAAGAACUCCGAUUGCGAAGGCAGUUCACUGGACUGCAACUGACACUGAGGCUCGAAAGUGUGGGUAUCAAACAGGAUUAGAUACCCCAGUAGUC